GAGUUUGAUCGUGGCUCAGAUUGAACGCUGGCGGCAUGCCUUACACAUGCAAGUCGAACGGCAGCAUGAUCUAGCUUGCUAGAUUGAUGGCGAGUGGCGAACGGGUGAGUAAUACAUCGGAACGUGCCCUGUAGUGGGGGAUAACUAGUCGAAAGAUUAGCUAAUACCGCAUACGACCUGAGGGUGAAAGUGGGGGACCGCAAGGCCUCAUGCUAUAGGAGCGGCCGAUGUCUGAUUAGCUAGUUGGUGGGGUAAAGGCCCACCAAGGCGACGAUCAGUAGCUGGUCUGAGAGGACGAUCAGCCACACCGGGACUGAGACACGGCCCAGACUCCUACGGGAGGCAGCAGUGGGGAAUUUUGGACAAUGGGCGAAAGCCUGAUCCAGCAAUGCCGCGUGUGUGAAGAAGGCCUUC
rnacentral:rRNA from 1 species